UGUUUGUUGAGGUUUGAGUGAGGGUAUGGGCUACUGUUUUGCUGUCAUUUCUAUUUGGUCCUUUACUAAGAAUCUUCCUUGUGUUUGGCAUCAAAACCGCCCUUGCUCUCUGAUAGGCCUCAACCCUCUUAUUUAAACAUUAAUCUCCCCAAAAACAUUUGAGUGACAGACUCAAAAAGUCCUGCUUCAUUACCGUCAAGAGUUCCUGUUUCGCUCUCGAGAGACACCAUGAAGAGCCGUAGAGGAAGGCGUUCCGAGCCCUUUUGGCCUUCCAUUGUGAUGAAGAAAUGGUUGAAUAUUAAACCAAAGGUGAAUGAUUUCAGCGAGGACGAGGUCGACACUGAAACAGAGAGCGAAGAUGAUGCUUCCUCCGUUAAAGAUGAGAGUCUUCCCCAAAAUGAUGAUUAUUCCCGAAGAACUCAACCGAACCAACCUGAAUGCCCGCCUCGAACCUCAGACAUGAAUUCAAAGGGCAGCUCUCAGUUCAGACACAGGAGAGGGAAGUCGGAGACGUUGCGUGUUCAGUACAUAAACACGAAGGAAGUGAGGGUAACCAUAGGCACUUGGAAUGUUGCUGGGAGACUUCCAAAUGAAAAUCUUGAGAUCGAUGAUUGGCUCUGUACCAAAGAACCUGCAGACAUAUACAUCAUCGGGUUUCAGGAGGUUGUUCCUUUGAAUGCGGGAAAUGUCCUGGGAGCUGAGGACAGCCGUCCCAUCCCGAAAUGGGAGGCUAUCAUUCGGAGAACCUUGAACAAAUCUGCUGAACCAGAAACCAAACACAAAAGCUACAGCGCCCCACCAUCUCCAGUGCUAAGGACUUCCUCUGCUGCUGACUCAUUGGCGGAUGCAGUCGAGGCCCAGGAUGCACUGGAGAUGAUAAUCAAGGACGAUCUCAUGGUACCUGCCACGGUCGGCUACAGCUUUGACGAUGAUGAUCCUAAAGGAAUUAUGGGUGUAGGAAGGAACUUGCAGUUGAGGAUAAAUGGGGACUUGAGUAGUCAUAUCGACUGGCCUGAACAACCACUAGAUGCAGGUCCAACAAUAAUUUCUUCAGGUGCAAAACUAAGGAGAGUGUUUAGCAGUUCUGCAAGAAUCGGGUGCGAAACUUUUGCCCUGAGAGGUGACUCGUUGAGAAGAUCGCACCACAGCUACGGAAAUCUUGGGUUGGAUUUGAGUAUAGAAGAGAAAUGGAAGCCUGGAGUUCUCAAUUUACCCUUUGACGAGCCUGGCAGGUUUUCUCUAGAGGAUGAUGAUCCCCUCCUCAAAACAUCACCUGAAAAACAGGAUAAUGGAAUGACUAGAGGUAAUAAGGCAAAGGCACGACCGAAAUAUGUGAGAAUUAUCAGCAAGCAGAUGGUGGGGAUCUAUGUUUCGAUUUGGGUUCGGAAGAGGCUCAGGAGGCACAUAAACAACCUUAAAGUGUCCCCUGUAGGAGUUGGCCUUAUGGGCUACAUGGGAAAUAAGGGAUCGGUUUCUGUUAGCAUGACUCUCUUUCAAUCCUCGUUAUGUUUUGUUUGCUCUCACCUGACCUCUGGUCAGAAGGAUGGGGCCGAACAGAGAAGGAAUGCUGAUGUUAGUGAGAUUUUACGCCGAACCUGUUUCUCGUCAAUCUUUGAUAACGAUCAGCCACAGACAAUCCGAUCACACGAGUAUGCUCUUUCUCAAAUUUCAGAUAUUCUGGUUCGGAGAUCUAAACUACCGUCUGAAUAUGGCGGAUUCGGACGUGAGAAAGCUUGUUGCUAAGAAACAGUGGAACGAGCUAAUGAACCAUGACCAGUUAAGCAAAGAACUCCAAGUUGGCCGUGUAUUCGAAGGAUGGAAAGAAGGUGCAAUAAACUUCCCACCAACCUACAAGUAUGAGAUCAAUUCUGACGGAUACGUUGGUGAAACCCCGAGAGAAGGCGAGAAGAAGAGAUCACCCGCAUGGUGUGAUCGUAUACUGUGGCUUGGGAGAGGAAUAAAACAGCUUUCCUACAAAAGAGCGGAUAUAAGGCUCUCAGAUCAUCGGCCAAUUAGCUCUGCAUUCUCAGUCGAAGUUGAAGUAUUGGACCAUCGGAAGCUCCAGCGGGCUAUAAAUUUGACCAGCGCUGCUGUGCAUCCUGAGGUUUUGCUCGAUGAAGACAGGGAAUUGUGACAAGGAGAUUGCACAGCAGGAAACCGAGACUCGAACUACGACACUGAUCUAUCUGGCUGAGAUCCUCGCAGCAUCUGCUGUGCUAACAUGAUCACUUAAUUAUUAUGCAGAUGAUUGAUGCGAACUUUCAAUGGAGCAAAGAUCAUACGCCCACACCGUUACAGAUAGUAAUCGAAGGAAAAAAAGACUUCCAAAAUUUUUGCCAUAAAUACAUAACACACUGGUCAGAAUUAUGAAGAUGAUGAUUUGGUUCUGAAACUGAAAGUGUGAACAGAAGAACCAAGUGGUGUUGACUUCAUUUAUUUAUUAAUGGAACUCUCUUUCACCUCUGGAGCUUUUUCUGACUAAUUUUAUUGUCAGCAACAUCUCUGAGCCUCGUAGUAUAUCUGUAAAUCCAACAGAAUUACAUCUUUUACUUUGAGUUGGAGGACUUUUGUUUAAUGAUAUUGCCUCUGUAUAUUGUUCCUU